GGAUGCAACCGCCUUGUCAUUAAUUCUGAUAAUCUGGAGGUUAUUGAAACUAUGAAUAAUGGAGGACGGUCAGCAGGAGCGGCGACUGCAAUUUUUGAUGAUUGCUAUUUUUUGGCUUGUGAUUUUUCUUCCUCCAUGCUUGAACACUGUAAUAGGGAAGCCAAUAAAGUUGUGCACGAGCUUGCUAGGUUGGCUAGAUUUUUUUUGGCUGUUGAUUGGUUUGAGGAGCCUAUGAUUGAAAUUGUACCUUUCCUCACAAACAGAUGA
rnacentral:rRNA from 1 species